rnacentral:rRNA from 1 species
AGCAUAAUCAUUAGUCUUUUAAUUUGAGACUGGAAUGAAAGAGUAAACCGGGAGAAUUUUUUUUCAGUUGAGAAAAUGAAUUUUACUUUUUAGUAAGAAGGCUAAAAUUUAACUUUUAGACAAGAAGACCCUAUAAAACUUUAUAUUUUUAUUUCUUAGUUGAAAGAAGAAGUAUUUCGCUGGGGCGGUGGAGGAAAGCCCUUCCUUUAAAAAAAUAAACUUUCUUGUUUAAAUACCUAGAAAUUCUAAAUUAGAAAUAAGUUACUUUAGGGAUAACAGCUUAAUUUACUUAGAAAGAUCAAAUUGACAAGUAAGUUUAUGACCUCGAUGUUGAAUUAAAAGACCUUUUUUGUGCAAAAGCUAAAAAA